UACGAAGCGUGCGAGCGUUGUUCGGAUUCACUGGGCUUAAAGGGCGCGUAGGCGGUCGGCCAAGUCUGGGGUGAAAUCUUUCGGCUCAACCGGAAAAGUGCCCCCGAUACUGGCCGUCUAGAGGGAGGUAGGGGCAUGUGGAACUUCCGGUGGAGCGGUGAAAUGCGUAGAUAUCGGAAGGAACGCCGGUGGCGAAAGCGACGUGCUGGACCUCAUCUGACGCUGAGGCGCGAAAGCCAGGGGAGCAAACGGG
rnacentral:rRNA from 1 species